GGCCUCCUUGCCUUCCCACACUUGGUGUCUGAGCCUUUCCUAUAGAGAGUGGUGACCCCUGGAGGCCGGGACAGGGGAGGCCCAUGCUCAUGGAUUAGGAGACAAAGGCAGAGUGUGGCAUAUUUGAGGGUCCAAGUGACUGACCUGGGGUCAGACAGGGGGCAUUUGGGGAAGUGUAAGCCCAGCUUCUGCCUGGCUCUCUGGCCUACUCAGUUGGGUGGGUCUGUUCUCUCAGUUUGGUCUGCAGAGACAAGACUCAAGACAAUGAGAUGAAUGAGGGAGGGACUCCCAGCUUUCUCCAUACUGCCCUCAGAUGUCCUAGAACCAGCCCCUGGGAGCUCCCCCAUCUACACUGCCUCCACAGCAACCUGGGGUCCCUGGAUGCUUUGGCCUUGGUGACAUGGGUGUGACAGUCUGCAGCAGUCCUUCCAGACUUCCCUCUGCCCGUUGCUCUGGCAGAUGUGGCAUCUGAUGCAGUGACGAUCGGGCUCUGAUUAGCCUCCUGCCGUUCCUCCUCUUUUGGGGGCCCUUGCCACACACGUCCUUUGCCUUCUCCUGUGCUGCUUUCCUUUAAGGUUAGGAGAUUUGGUCGCACAGCGCAGAUGAAGAGAAAGUGCUGUUGUCUGCCUUGACGACUGAAACUUAAGCUUAAACUGGCUGCUCCAAAAGCCAAGGUGUUUGAGAGCCAGGGACCAGAGUGAGUGGAGGCAGAGGACUGCCACUCUUGAACCCACCCCUAGCUGAGAAAGAGCAGCCUAUUGGGAUCAAAUGAGAACAGGUUUUCAGAUGACCCAUGACCUCUGCUCUCUUCCCUUCCUGCCUCAGUAGUCUUCCAAUGCAACGGAGCACCGCCUGGUAUAGCUUUGGCAGCAUGGCUGUAGUUCUGAUUGGUUCAUUUACAAUGACAGCAUCUCAUAGUGACACUCGCCCCUUUAGCAGCACCAGAUCUAUCAUCUCUGUGGUCAGGGUGGGUGAGGACUCUUCUCUGUGCUGGUGUUCAGCAGGGGAAAGAGGGACAACUUUGGCCCCUUCCAGCCUCCCCUGCAGGUGUGGGAGCUGGAGACCCAUCCCUGGUUCUGGAAGAGAUUGCUGUAACUGUGACCAGCGCACUAAAGCCAAGUCCCAGGGGACAGUCAGAUAAGCUUCUGGCUCACUCUGAGAGUCCCAGUGAAACAUCCCACCUUGACCCUGUGGUGAGCAGGAAGUAGGUCAUAGGACAGAGCGGUGGAGCCAUUUAGGACACGUUUCUCAUUUUUUUCCCCUCCUGUCCAGUAUAGUGAGCAGCCCCGGAGGGAGCCACAGGUGUAGCCAGAGGGAAGAGAGACCACGGGUGUGCUGAGUCAGGGAGAGUGUGCUUCCUGCUUCCAGCACAGGCCAGGCUCUGCGGCCACACUAGGUGUGCCUUCAGGGCUUGCUGGCUUCCUGUGAGGCUUCCAGAGCCAAGAUGCUUGGUGGUUCUAACGAUGCUAUCCAUCCUGGGAUUCUGAACAAAGUCCGGUUAAAGACUGGAGGUUCUGUCAAACUGAUGCUGAUUCCUGGGCUUUGUAUGUUGUGACUGUGAAGGGCAAGAAGAGGAGUGGGGCAGCAAUGGAAAGGAGGACUCUGCCUGGUGCUCCCUGGAGCACCCCCACUGCCUGAGCACUCCCUGUGUGUGUUGCACCGUGGGGUGAUGCUAAGCCUCAUCUCUCCCUCCUCCAGGGGUCUGCGCUGCUGCCGCCGUGACCCUGCAGAUGUACACUUAUCUGGCCACUGUAAGAGAAUGCUUCCAAAUUGUUUUUAAACCCUCGGCAUAUCCUGUGUGAAGCCCUAGAACCUGUAAAGUUCUGAAUUCUGCCUCACUGGGUUCCCUUCCCCUUCUCUACACCCUACCAUAACACUGCAGGCCACUGCCCAGAUCACAAGGAGCAGGAGGCCUGACAAGGCACCUGGCCAGUCUCCCGUCCUGAACCUUUCCUAACCACAUCAGAAAAAUGCCAGAGCCCCACCUGUAGAGCCAGGAAAAGUCUGCUCUUCUCUAGCUCUGAGAACAGAAGAGAUGCUAGAGCUGGCAUCAUCUGGUGUCUUCUGGUUGGGGGGGGCGGGUAUGGCAUGGGGGUCUGGGCAGAGGGUGACCAGUGCCUGGACCAGUAGACCCUUCAGAGAAAUCCUCCAUUCUGCCUUCAUCCCAGCAGGCUGGGAGAAAUAUCUGCUGGUUAGGAGAACUUGUUCCAGGGGAUCAGUCCAGAUCACAGCAGUAGGAAGGGGAAGGGAACCACUUGGUAAGUGGAAGGCAGCCCGUUACUGUGAGCCCCAUGUUCUCAGAUGUCCUUCUCCUGAGUGCAGAUAGGACUUGGGACUUGCUGCUAGCCCGUACAGUAUGGCAAAGGUCGCGGGAGGUCACUCAUUUAAUUGUGUCAUUGGGAAAGGUAACAAGAUAUUUGUCCCUGGAUGGUUUCAUUUUAUUUAUUAAUUAAAAUUUACUCUCUAACAAUUCC
rnacentral:lncRNA from 1 species